rnacentral:misc_RNA from 1 species
GUUCGUAUGUUGCGGUGAGUUUUAACGAUAACGAAGGAAAGCGUAUAAUUUAAUAAAGUGAAUGGAAAGUAAAGCGAUCUAAUGAAAAAAAUAAUUUUUUAAAUGGAAUACGUAAUUCUGUGGCGAUAAAAUUUUAGCGACGACAGAGAAAAAUGAGUUAUAAUCUGUUAAAAUAAAAGUGUAAUAAUCUAAAGGAAUCUUUAUAAAAAUUACCUUGGGGCGUGUCGAAAGGGUCGGACGGUGAUGUCGUAGAAGUAGUACCGAUGCUCGAUAGAACUUUUGCUAUUAAACCGCGUAUUUCUUGACAUUUGUCAAAAAAUGUAAGAACAUGUCCUUCGUUAAACGAUUAAUAAUUAACACGUUGAGUGCCACG